rnacentral:misc_RNA from 1 species
AGAGUGACAAGAAAGUGUACUCGGCGCCAAAGAAGGGCAAAGAAAUCGAGAUGAUCAUAUGCAAAACCCAUGAAUAUAUUUUUAAUGGCGAAUAAAACAACUGAAUUAAAAGAAGUUUGUUCCUUUGUUUUCUUAGUGAGGUCCUCCUCGAUCGUUCACUGAUUCCAUUGAUAUGUACGCAUUCAAAUUGGUUUCUUCUCGGCGAGAUCAUGACGGGUUCACCCGUGUGGAUAUGGUAGACUAUUACGACGAUGCGGAGCUGGAGAAUUUAUAUCAGUGGCUUGACAGGGUACCACUUACAAGACCGAAGAAAAAUCUUGCCAAAGACUUUUCUGAUGGAGUAUUGGUAGCUGAAGUCAUCAAAUACUAUUUCCCACGCAUGGUUGAUCUUCAUAACUACUCACCAGCACAUGCUGAUAAACAAAAGAUGGAAAACUGGUACCAUCUUAACAGAAAAGUUUUGUAUCGAUUAGAUCUUGACCUGUCAGAUGAGGUCAUUCGGGCUCUUGUAAAGUCCAAGAAAAAAGUGGUUGAGCGUGUGCUAAUGUUGCUCCGACUUCAAAUUGACAAAGCAAUGGAGAAAAUGCAGAGACACAAAGAGCGUGUUAAGCAUCUGCAGGCAUCUUCAAGUAAAGCAUCUUCACCAUUUCCUACUGGACGGGAGCUCAUUCCACACAAAUCUGUCUCUCCUCGAAGUAUUGGUGCUAACCCUGUAAUCCCUCAUAGCCAUCCAUCUAGAGUGGGCUAUUCACAAACAGAAUUUACUUUACCUUCCUUACCUCCAGCUAUUAAUAAUGUGGACAGAUCACUUUUAGAAGAGAAAGAGCAGGAAAGUAUGGCCAAAAAUGAAACAAUAUAUAUCCUGAAUGAUAAGCUAACUAGACUAGAGCAGUUGCUGCAUCUUAAGGACAUGAGGAUUGAAGACUUGGAAUCACGAUUGAAUCAAGUCAGAUCGCUAAAUUAUAGUCGUAGAGUAACUUAAAAAAAAUACUGAGACUCCCUGAGAAAAAAGGAUUAAAACUGUUAUUACAAUGUUAUUUACAACAUAAGUAAAAGAUUAUUUAAAUUCUUCUUCUCAUUCCUAAUCACCCCCAGUAGAGCAUAGGGCCGCAACUACACCACGGCAUCGGACCCGAUUCUGGAUGGCCCUUUCCAGUUGGGACCAUGUCACACCAACUGCCUGCACCUUGCUGUGGAUCGAGCUCCUUCAUGUAAAAGAUUAUUUAAAUAGAAGACAUAUAUUGCCAGUUUUUUGUUUUGUUUACUAUGUGAUCUAAUCAGAUGCAAAAGCCAUACACUUUAAGAAUUUGUAUUUAUAACUGCUAUGGCUGCAGCUGAAUGUUGGUGUUUGUUUUGUUUUUUGGAAGGGGACAAAAUUACUGAAAUGUAACCAGUUGUGUUCCUAAUUCUUCUUGCCACAGAUUGUUAUGCUACAAACUAAGAAGGUAUUGCCAUUCUGUACCUAACAAUUAACUGUGAUUGUAAAUAUGUUAGAUACAUAUCAUAAAAGACAUAUUUUUCCCCAAGCCUGGUUUCCAAUGCAAGUUCAGCUGAUGGUGAGACUAUUUUUAAUAUGAAACUGUUGGUAAUGGUUUGUGGAAAAUUUUGGUAUUUUUUUUUAGUGCUUUUAACAAAUUGUGCACCUCUUGAUAUUGGUGGAGGGUUUGAAUGUUGAGAGGUUUUAGUGUGCACUUUUUCCCCCCAGAGCAUUUUGCAUUAAUGUUGCUGAUGUGUGCAUUAAGAAAAUGGUGGAGGGUGUGCAGGUGUGUGCUUUUUUUUUUUUUUUUUUUUUUUUUGAAAGGAUUAUUUACUGACUGCAAAGUUAUGCAUGCAAUCUGAACAUCAAAAAUGAUCAUUUGGAAUUACUAAAACAAAGAAAAACAAAAAAAACUCCAACAAAACAAUAAAUCAAAUAGAUAACUUCAGCUUGUUUUAUGCUGUUGUGAUAAUAUUAAAAAUGCAGGUUUAAGUGUGUGCAUCCGCAUACUCAUAUUCUCAUCCUUAAAAGGUGACACUUUAGAAUUAACAGUUAUAUUCACGUAACACUCUUUACUGUAUUUUGUCCUCUACUAGACACUAUUUGAAAUUUCUCACCUUGUCCAUGAUGAUAUCUAAAUGUAUUGUGCAUCUAUUAUGCCACAAAUCUUAUUUUUACUUCUUGUAGCAGUUUUUAUUUUAUGUAUAAACAUGGAAAGAUCAUGAAUAUGAUACUUAUAUUUCUCACAAAGAUGACAAAAAUAAUAUGAGCAUUUUCCUUUUAAGAAAUAAAUGUUAAUAACAUACCAGAAUGCAUAAAACUUGCCAUUCUGUGGUAACAUUGUGUAGCUGAAUGAGAGAAUAUUAAACAUUAAUUUAUUCAGCUUAAAUCCUGUGCUGCAUACACUAGUCAUGAAAUUGUUAAUUUUGAAACCACUAAUUAUGUAACCACAAUUCACAUUCUUUAUUGUUUUUGUCAACUAAUUCAUAAUGUUGGCAUAAUAUUAUAGAUGACAUUUGUCUAGUCCCACAUAAAAUUUUAAAAUUCUGAGGCAAUGAGUACUGUUGGUGUGUGUAAAAUCAGUAGAUAUUUGAUGCUACCUCACUUUGUUUUCUGUAUUUGGGGAGUGUUGCAGGGUUUGCUUUUACAGUGAGAGCAAGAAAGUACUUUUGAAUGGUCAAACAUAAACUUUGGCUGCUCAGAACUAACUAGUAAAAAUUAUGCUGAAUGUCAUUUUAAAAUUGAUAUUUGGCAUAAUCUUCACUGUGCACGUUCCUUCUUGCAGAUAUUGCUGGGUCAUGUGAACAAAUUGAGCCAUGAAAACAGCAAUAAAAAUAUCUCACUUUAAGAUUGUGACCACCAUUUCUGCAAUCAAGUGAGUUGAUUCUGAGUUUUAGAUCC